UUAUAAAUUAGCCAUGGGGACAUAAUGUACAGUGUGGUGAGUAUAGUUAAUACUGUAUUACAUACAGUUGCUAAGAGAAUUUUUUUUAACUAGUCAUCUUUUAUUGGGUGUUAAUUUUCCAUUAGAAUAUGAAAGGACUCAGGUGCCAGGCAAGGGUCACGGUCAGGAGUACAGAGUGUGCCUUCUUCAGUUUAAGAGGCUGCUCAUAGUUAAGUUCCUUACAAGAAGGGUAGUACCUGAAAUGCAUGUAAGCUGCCAACACCAUAGAAAGGCCAGCAGUAUUCCUUUUCUUCAUAUUGACAUACUUGUAAUUCUGGUAGUAACUUCUUUGAAACACUCCUGCAAUGACUUUAAGGGUAAGAUAUUACAUUAGUAUCCAGCUUGGCAGCUCCCCUAAUUUGACAUGAAGGAGCUUCUUCUCCUUCAGCAGUAUGAUGGACACCAUCCUUGAGUCCUGGCUGUCCACUGCAAUAUUGAACUCUUCACUGUUGAGCAAGGUUUGAGGUAUGACUAAAGGCCUGCCCACAUUAUUCAUCUUCAUAGGGUUUCUCAUCACUAUGAAUUCUCUGAUUCAGAAAGAGAUGAAUAGUUUGUAGGUAUAAAUGUUUUUCUAUCACUGAUUACUUGAAUUCAAAUCUGUACUCCAACUUCUUAUUUCUUCCUUCAAAACCAUCCUGAAUUCCCUUCCUUGCUCCAAUAAUAUAAUUACAGCUGGUGAGAAAUGGAAUGGGCCCUUGAGACAAGUUACUAUAGUUCCUAGAGUUCUCCAUCAUUACAUAUGGGUACCAGUUUUCUGAACAUGUUGAAAAACCCCACCCAUACUGACAGGACUCUAUGGACACAUUUCUGAAUGUUAUGGAUCCAUGGGCCAUGGUUUCAUACCUGCCAAGAGCUGAUUAGUCCUCAGGGAUUCCUUUAUCAGAAAAACACAGAGUCCAGAAAACCCAUACUACCCUUUGCGGGCUCCAGCCAUGUCUUCACAGUCAUUUUCACAGCAACCCAUGCUUGUUUCUUCCUUGGACAGGUCACUCAUGUGUAGCACACAAGAAAGAACAUACAAGGCCCAAGGUGCAAGUCACCUCAUUGAUUGGAGGAUGUGAGAUCCAGAGUGGUCAUGAAAUUGAAUUUUUAAUUUAAAAAAAUUCCUAGCAAACAAAACUCCAGUACCAGACAACUUCACAGUGGAAUUAUACCGAACACUAAAAAAAAAAAAAAAAAAAAAAAAAAAGGAUUAAUACCAAUUUCCUCUCAAACUCUUCUAAAAAAUGGAAGAGAGAGAAACACUUCCAAAUACAUUUUAUGAUGCCAGAAUUACCCUGAUAAAACCAGACAAGGAUGCCACCAAAAAAGAAAAUUAUAGGUUAAUAUCCCUGAUAAGCAUAGAUGCAAAAGUCCUCAAAGAAAUAGUAAGCCAACUGAAUUCAACAACACAUGAAAAGUCUCAUAUGCCAUUGUAAAGCUGUAUUUAUCCCAAGGAUACAAGGAAAAUGCAACAUCUGUAAAUCAGUCAAUAUGACAUACCAUAUUAAAAAAGGGUUAAAAUUAUAUGAUCAUUUCCAUUGAUGCAGAAAAAGCAUUUGACAAAGUUCAACAUCCAUUUAUGAUAAAAACUUUUGAUAAGAUGAAUGUAGUGGGAAGGUAACAACACAGUAAAGGCCAUAAAAGACAAGCACACAAGUAACAUAAUACUCCACAGUGAAAAGCUGAAAGAUUUUCUCUAAGAUUAGGAACAAGACAAGGAUGUCUACUCGUGCCACUUUUAUUCAACAUAAUAUUGCAAGUCCUAGCAAUAGAUAUUAGACAAGGGAACGAAAAGCAUAUGAAUUGCAAUGGAAGAAGUAAAACCAUCACUAUUUGCACAUGAUAUGAUACUUUAUACAUAAAAUCCUAAAGUCUCCACAAAAAAACUAUUAGAACUCGUAAAUGAAUUAAGUAAAGUUGCAGGAUACAAGACUGACAUACAGAAAUCUGUUGUCUAUACACUUACAAUGAAAUAUCAGAAAGAGAAAGCAGGAAAACAGUCCAGUUUAAAAUCACAUGAAAAAGAAUAAGAUGUCUAAGAAUAACCAAGGAAGUGAAAGGCCUAUGCUCUGAAAACUAUAAACAUUGGUGACAGAAAUUGAAGAUGAUACAAAGAAAUUGAAAGAUAUCCUGUGUUCACUGACUGGAAGAAUUAAUAUUGUUAAAAUAGUCAUACUACCCAAAGCAAUCUACAGAUAGAAUACAAUCUUUAUCAAAAUAUCCAGGAUAUUUUUCAGAGAUCAAGAACAAACCAUCCUAAAAUUUUAUAUGGAACCUCAAAAGACCCCAAAUAUCCAAAGAAACAUGAGGAAAAAGAGUAAAACUGGAGGUAUCACACUCCUUAAUUUCAGACUACACUGUAAAGCUAAAUUAAUUGAAACAGUAUGAUAUUGGCACAAAAACAGAUACAUAGAUCAAGGGGACAGAAUGGAGAGCUCAGAAAUAAACCCAUACAUUUAUGGUCAAUUAAUCUACAACAAAGGAGGCAAGAAUUUACAACAGGGAAAAGAGUCUCUUCAAUAAGUGGUACUGGGAAAAUUGGACAGCUACAUGUAGAAGAAUAAAAUUUUCUUAUACAAAAAUAAACUCAAAAUGGAUUAAAGACUUAAAUGUAAGACCAGAUACCAUAAAACUCCUAAAAGAAAACAUAUAACAAUCUUUGAUGGAAAUAGUAUUUUGGGGAUCUGUUUUUAAGGCAAAGGAAAUAGAAGCAAAAAUAAACAAAUGGGACUUAGUUAAAUUUAAGACCUUUUGCACACCAAAGAAAACUAUCAACAAAAUGAAAAGACAACCAACUGAAUGAGAGAAAAUAUUUCCAAAUGAUAUGACUGACAAUGGGUUAAUAUUCAAGAUAUAAAGAGCUCAUCCAAAACAGGAUUAAGAUGGCAAAAUAGAAGGACUGGAGCUCAACUUCUCUACUAAAAACAACAAAAUUACAACCAAAUGCUGAGCAAACUUCAACCAAAUGGACUGGAAACUUUUGAAAAGAUAUCCUACUCCAGAAAAUGAAGAGGAGGCCACAUCAAGAGGUAAGAGGGAUGAUUACAUAAUAUAAGCAACCCCAUACCUCCCAGGUGGGAAGGAAGCUCCACAGACUGGAAAGUAACUGUAUCACAGAGACUCACCUAUGGGAGUGAGAGUUCUGAGCAUCAUGUGAAAUGCCCAUGCCUGGGGUUCUGGCAUUGGAAGAAAGAGCCCUUGGAGCAUCUGGAAUUGAAGGCCAGUGGGGCUUGUGCGCAGAGCUCCACAGGACUGGGGGAAAUGGAGCCUCACAGACUUUCAUGUGCACUGGGUCCCAGGGCAAAGCAAAGUCUCCAUAGGAAUCUGGAUUGGACCUAACUGCAAUUCUUGGUGGAUCUCCUGGGAAAACAGGGGGUAAAUGUGGCUUGUUGUGUCAGAAGGGCAUUGGAGGCAAAGCUCUUGGCAAUGUUAAUCAGUGUGCGUUUCUCUGGAGGUGGCCAUUUUGGGAAAAUCUGUAAACAGGCUGCCUAAAGAACAGGUUGCCUAAAGAACACCCGGGCACACAGCCUCCUCUAAUCUCACCCAGAGACAAAGCCCCACCCACCAGAGGGAUAGGAAUUAGCCAGCCUACAAGUGGGAAGGCACCAGUCCCUCCAAUCAGGAAGCCUACAGAAAGCCCCCAUACCAACUUCAGCCACGGGGGGGCAGACACCAGAAGUAAGAGAAGGUAUAAUUAUUGUCUGCAAAAAGGAGACCACAUCAAUACCCUACAAAAAUGAAGACAGAGUCCUAUAACUCGGAUGAGGGAGAAAGAAAAAAACCCCAGAAAAACAACUAAGUUAUCAGAAGAUUUUCAGCCUCCAGGGAAAGACUUUAGACUGAUGAUGAUGAAGAUAAUGCAAGACAUUGGAAAUAAACUGGAGGCAAAGAUGGAUAACUUACAGGAAACACUGAGCAAAGAUAGAUAAGAUAUAAAACGUAAGCAAGAAGAGAUGCAAAAUACAAUAACAGAAAUAAAAAAUUCAUUAGAAGCAGCCAACAGCAGAAUACAGGAGGCAGAAGAACAAAUAAGUGAGGUGGAGGACAGACUAGUGAAAAUCACUGAUGUG
rnacentral:lncRNA from 1 species